rnacentral:rRNA from 1 species
AACGAACGCUGGCGGCAUGCCUAACACAUGCAAGUCGAACGAGACCUUCGGGUCUAGUGGCGCACGGGUGCGUAACGCGUGGGAACCUGCCCUUAGGUUCGGAAUAACUCCCCGAAGGGGGUGCUAAUACCGGAUAAUGUCUUCGGACCAAAGAUUUAUCGCCUUUGGAUGGGCCCGCGUUGGAUUAGCUAGUUGGUAGGGUAAAAGCCUACCAAGGCGACGAUCCAUAGCUGGUCUGAGAGGAUGAUCAGCCACACUGGGACUGAGACACGGCCCAGACUCCUACGGGAGGCAGCAGUGGGGAAUAUUGGACAAUGGGCGAAAGCCUGAUCCAGCAAUGCCGCGUGAGUGAUGAAGGCCUUAGGGUUGUAAAGCUCUUUUACCCGGGAUGAUAAUGACAGUACCGGGAGAAUAAACUCCGGCUAACUCCGU